UACAGAGGGUGCGAGCGUUGUCCGGAAUCACUGGGCGUAAAGGGCGCGUAGGUGGCGGCCCAAGUCCAUGGUGAAAGCUCGCCGCUUAACGGCGAGUCGGCCACGGAUACUGGGUUGCUCGAGCACUGUAGGGGCAGAUGGAAUUCCGGGUGUAGCGGUGGAAUGCGUAGAGAUCCGGAAGAACACCCGUGGCGAAGGCGGCUCUCUGGGACGGUACUGACGCUGAGGCGCGAAAGCGUGGGGAGCAAACAGG
rnacentral:rRNA from 1 species